AAGCACUUACUGGUGACGAGUACAGCAGGUCACCACUUCCAUUCCCACCCACACCACCACCCAUGACGUCAAGUCACCCUCCUGGAGGUGCACAAUGUUUCAUGUUGCAAGCUACUGAGCACCGACCGGACCUUCCUGCCCAUCCCCAACAUUAUCACCAAGGCUUGCCACACAGUGCCCAGAACAUGGUACAUAUAAGCCUUCCGUCAAGUGAUCAUGACGUACUGACACAUCAAGGUGAUACCCUG